GAUUUCCUAUAAAUGUAUCAUUAGGUGUUCUAAACUAUAUAAAGUGAUUAAAUACUUUUUGUUUGUUACAUGCAAAAGAAGGGGGAAAUGACUAAACUUCUCAAGUUUGUGUAUGUUAUGUUCUUCUUAAUUUUCCUAUUUCAUGUUGUAACUGAUGCUACUGGUGGUAAUUGUACUUCUCUUCUUGAUUGUGUACAUACUCAAUGUACAUUAUAUGCAAUGCCAAUUUGCUUGGAGGAUAAAUGCAUGUGUGUUUAAUUGAAUUGGACAAGGAGAAGCACUCAAAACAAAUGCUUUAGUCAUCGAUGGAAAUUUAUCAUAUAAUUCGAACACAAAUGUGAUGAAUAUUGGGAUAUGGGUUAUUGUGUGAUUCUUGUUUUGAUUAUUGUUAUAUGUUUGUUUUUGAUGUGUUAGGCUAUUUUAAACUUUGAAGUUAUGGUUAUAUUUUUGUAUUUUGGUGGGUGGAUGAAUAUUUAUUUUAUUUUAAUUGGUAUAAUUAUCAUACUAUUGUAUAAUUAUCUCACUAAACAAUUGUUAAACAAUUUAAUUAAAUAAUCCCGCUUUCUUUCUCCCUUUUGCUCU